CACCAGCCUUGGCCUCCCAAAGUGCUGGGAUUACAGGUGUGAGCCACCGCGCUCGGCCAGAAAUAUAUGAUUUUUAAAUAAGAAAUUUUGUUUACCUAAAUAGUUUUGUACUAUGCCUUAUAGUUCUGCAACAUGCCUUUUUUAAAAAAUUGCGUAAAGUCUGGAAGAAUUUUGUGUCAUUGAAUUAUAGAUCAACUUCAUUCUUUACCGCUGCACAGCAUGCUGCUAUAUCAUAAAUUAUUGACUAUUUUUAUAACAAUUGUAUUUAGGUUGUUUCCAGGUUUGUGCUAACGUAAGCAAGCUGCACUCUUUGGCUGUGUCCUUUUGUCUGGUGUAUUUCUAGAAAUAUAAAGAAAAUCGGAGUCUAUGAUAAGCACCUUUGAAAAGCUAAUGAAUGUUGCUGAUUCACCUUUGAAAUUUGCCACAUUAUAUUCUCACUAGUAGUACAUGAGAAUAUAUGUUUUCCUACAAACUUCAAGCUGAAUGUUAUAAUGUAUCCUCCCUUUAGUCAAUCUGACUGGAGUGGGGGGGCUGGGGAAGAGAAAACUCAUUCUAAUUUACAUUUCCCUGAACACCAGUAAUACCAACCAAAUUUUGUAUGUUUAUUGGCUAUUUUAAUUACCUCUUUUAUGAAUGACCUUUUUAUAUUUUCCAUCCACCCAUUUAAAUUUUUUUUUUCCUUUUUUAAAAAAUAGAGAUGGGGUGUCACUACGUUGACCAGGCUGCUUUUGAACUCCCGGCUUCAAGCGAUCCUCCCACCUUGUCCUCCCAAAGUACUUGGAUUACAGGGAAAUAAUAUGUAUGUCUCCUUCUGGGGAGCUGAAGAAAUGGGAUAUGUGCUUCCCGGAGAGACAGGUGUUGUGAACAUACACAGAUCUAAAAGAGAGAAAAGAUAAAAAGUUCAUGAAAGCUGGAGACAAAGAAUAAAUGCAAUGUUUGCUUUGAGGUGAAAAAUAAAAAUAAAAAAAAGGUGAGUGUAACUGCUGUGCUUUCAGUGUCCUUCUCCCUAGAAAAGAGACCCUCUGUUGUAAAAAUCUGUUUUCUUUGAAAACAGUUUGUAUUAACUAAAGAAAAGUAAAGAAAGUAAAGAGGAGGCAACAUUUAAUAUUGAUAAAUGCAGGAAAGCCACUUAUCAAUUAAAGGAGUCUUGGACCACCGAGCUGAU
rnacentral:lncRNA from 1 species